rnacentral:tmRNA from 1 species
GGGGGCGUAAAGGUUUCGACAGGGACCGUUGGAGUAUGUAAAGCGAGCCGGGAUUCCAUCAGCCCGUAAUACGGUGGGUUUAAAGUAAACGCAAAAGAAAAUUACGCUUUAGCAGCUUAAUGCUAAGGUCUUACCCUCCUUUUCCUACGGGGCGGGAUAAGACCUCAAACAGUAGGAUACUGUAAGCUCAAUUCUCGGAGAGCUUACGGGAAACUUUAUCGAGAUAGUGCAUCGUCAGCCCGUCUGCGGGCGGCCGACGCGCGAAAUCCAAAACGCAGACUGCGCUCGGAGAAAAGCAUAUAACAAUGUUUCUGGACAGGGGUUCGACUCCCCUCGCCUCCACCA